rnacentral:rRNA from 1 species
CCUACGGGAGGCAGCAGUGAGGAAUAUUGGUCAAUGGACGAGAGUCUGAACCAGCCAAGUAGCGUGAAGGAUGACUGCCCUAUGGGUUGUAAACUUCUUUUAUAUGGGAAUAAAAUGUUCCACGUGUGGGAUUUUGUAUGUACCAUAUGAAUAAGGAUCGGCUAACUCCGUGCCAGCAGCCGCGGUAAUACGGAGGAUCCGAGCGUUAUCCGGAUUUAUUGGGUUUAAAGGGAGCGUAGGUGGAUUGUUAAGUCAGUUGUGAAAGGUUGCGGCUCAACCGGACAACUGCAGUUGAUACUGGCAGUCUAGAGUACAGUAGAGGUGGGCGGAAUGCGUGGUGUAGCGGUGAAAUGCUUAGAUAUCACGAAGAACACCGAUUGCGAAGGCAGCUCACUGAACUGCAACUGACGCUGAGGCUCGAAAGUGUGGGUAUCAAACAGGAUUAGAUACCCGGGUAGUC